CCCAUCCAGGAUGAUGAGCUGAUCUCAUAUCUUCUUCACGGGCUGGAUAUGGACUACCAGCCACUCGUCUCGGCCCUGUAUGCUCGCAUCACGCUGGUGUCCCUCGAUGAGCUCUACUCCAUGUUGAGCAACUUCGACC
rnacentral:snoRNA from 1 species